UACGAAGGGGGCUAGCGUUGUUCGGAAUUACUGGGCGUAAAGCGCGCGCAGGCGGUUUCUCAAGUCAGUGGUGAAAGCCCGGAGCUCAACUCCGGAACUGCCAUUGAAACUGUGAGACUUGAGGACGAGAGAGAUGAGUGGAAUUCCCAGUGUAGAGGUGAAAUUCGUAGAUAUUGGGAAGAACACCGGUGGCGAAGGCGGCUCACUGGCUCGUUUCUGACGCUCAGGCGCGACAGCGUGGGGAUCAAACAGG
rnacentral:rRNA from 1 species